UUCUUUUUGGCAAAACAAACUCAAAAAUCAAUAUUGAAUGCGUGUGCACUGUCUUUGAAAACACAAAUGUCGCGAUUUUUGUUUUUCGAGUAUACACUUACUUCGAACCCUGUAACUACAGUUUUAAAACAGUUUAGGAUUUUAAAGUCACAUAUUUUGACUUAGUUAAAGUUUAAUUUGAAUAAGAGGUGUCAAGUUAAUGUAAAAAUCGUUUGAACUUUAUUGGAAGUAUAUUAAUACAGUACGUACCCAUGCACAUAAACACCAGGGCAAUGGCGACAUUUGUGUUGUCAAAAAUAGUAUGCACACAAUCAUUGAUUAUUUUUAGCCUUAUUAACCCAAAAGAAGUUUAAAAAAGCGAUAGUGGAACUCACUAGUCUAUUCUUGUUAAAAAUAUGUGACUUUAAAAUCCUAAACUGUUUUAAAACUGUAGUUACAGGGUUCGAAGUAAGUGUAUACUCGAAAAACAAAAAUCGCGACAUUUGUGUUUUCAAAGACAAUGCACACGCAUUCAAUAUUGAUUUUUGAGUUUGUUUUGCCAAAAAGAAG